rnacentral:lncRNA from 1 species
CACUUGAUUGCUUAAGCCCUUCCUUCCAAAUACUGGGAGUCCCGAGAAAGUUCCGGAAAACGUGGACUAAGAAAAACUAUGCAUGGAUUUCGAAAUUUCUCACAUGAAAUAAACUUUCCUUUGAAUUCAACUUUCCACAAACUUCUCAAAGUGCCCCCAUGCACUCUCAGUGGGGAUUAGGGCUUCCACUUAGUAAUCGAGUCCCUGGCGUUAGGUCACAGUAGAAAUGAACUUUAGUGCAAUCCUUGCUUUAUACAGCAAAGUGUCCAUCUACUUACGUAAGCUUGCAUCUGAAUCAUUUUAAGAAGAGACUCUGGAACUUUGUCCAUCAGAUUUAAUGACGGUUAUUUCCAAAGUGCAGAGUGAAAGAGCACCCCCUGGGCUGGGGCCGCCCGCUCCUCCCAGGGCGGUAAGGCAGCGGGUUCCCACACGAGAGUCUGAGCUGAAGGAAGCGAGACAAGGUGCCCGGAUCCGCUCAGAGGCCUGGAAAGGGAGCUUCCCUGGAAAGGUAAUGGCGUUCGGGGGGGUGAUAUUUGGAGGGACCCAUUCGUGGCGUGGCCACCUCCGUGCCCCCCACCCCAGCGCUUCCAAGAGCUGCCGCCUGGCCCUGGGAGGCUGCUGAUGAAAUGUCAAGUGUCCUCAUCAGCGAGGAGAGCAUCGGAUCAGCACCUCAUCUGCAGGGGCCCAGAGCAGGUGCUGCAGGCUGAGUGCAUCCGAAAGGCCGCGCAUUGCAAAUGAAGCCUCCAGGAGGUUAAAACGGGAGGCUGUUCAGCGAGUCUGAGGAACCUAACGGCAAUGAUAAUUCAGAAACAAUUAAUAAUGCAUGUGCUUCGUGCAGAAUCUCACUAGUCCGCUGGUGAAGCGAACGUUUCAUUCCUGGUCUUCUCCCCGCUUCCCUAAAGUAUAAGCAGUACCUACAACACACAUGCGAUAGAUCAUUGCUGUGUGUUCUUUCCAACCGGGAACGGGUACCACAUAAGUCACUUGAAAUGGCACGGAAUGGUGCCACAUCUUCAGCCACUUUUUUAUCGGAAUAAAAU